CCUGGGACCAAGAACCUCCAAUCACAUUUCAUCCCCUGUUUUCCCUGAAACUUUUCGUUACACAUUGAAGUUACUGGAUACAAGUUCUGUUCAAGUAACCAUAUAUAAACUUGACAUGGAGAUCAGCUGAGACCUCAUGGCAGAAAUCUCAUUUGAAACAACUGGAAAUUACUUCACCUUGGCUCAAGCCACAGCAUGACAGAAACCUUCUCCUCUUUCUCCAGCCCUGCUAUCUGCAAGAGGAUAAGGAUUUUUUCCACUUCCUUUGCCGAAUGAAAAGAUGACAACACAGCAUACAUCUAGGGACACCUGCUGAGAGAAUAAAACACAAUAAACAUGAGUAU